CAUACCAAUAUCGACCCCCAACUACUGGGCACACAAAGACAUCAACAAUUAUUGUUUGGAAAAUUAAGAAAAAAUUGCAUAAAGGUUUUCAUGUGAAUACAGACAAUGUACUGAUUGCACAGACAGGAAGUGUAAACAUUUAUUAGUUUGAUUUGUAUUUAAAAUGGCAACUGCAGUAGCAUCUUCACAGAUUUUUGAUAAUAUUCCUAGUACAAGACAAUUUGUUAUACAGUUAGACGACAAUACAAGCUAUCCCGAACAUGUUUUACUUAAAAUAAACAAAAGGAGUGGAUGUAACCCGGGACCUUCUGAUGUUGGAAUCAAAACAUGUUUUUCUUCACAUUCGGCUCCGUCUCGUGGUACUUCAAACGUAAGACGAGAAGACAGUUAUAACUUUUACAAAUCUAUUACAAAUAUGGAUAAAUGGCCGGGUGAUGAUACAUAUGACAUUGCUAAAAUACAGGAAUGGAAAGAUUGGAGGCGGAAAGCUAAUUUGCAUAUGGCGAACACGAUCAUUGACGAAGAAUGUCCCGGACUCUCUCGGAUUAGCGAUUUAUCAACCCAUCCAAUUGAAAAUGACAUUGUUUUCAAUGUGUAUAAGACAACAAGGUCAUCCGAAGGUUCAACGUCAGUGCUUGGUGUUACGUCAUUCAGUAUGUUCGGGAUUCCUCGGAUUCAAACACAUGCCGAAUUCGAUGACAAAAGUAGCCUCCAUGUGGAUGAUUUAAUGCCGCCAGAUUACGAAGACUGUUUCUAUGGUAACGAUGACCUUCCUCCGGACUACGACGAUGUGUUUGAGACAUAGGACGUCAAUUCUACUGUGUGGAGUACAAUCAAACGUUCAAGUAUAUAGUGCAGGCAGUUCAAACAUGUUAAAUGUUUACUGUUUAUUCUCGGUAGGCCAAACGCUUUGAACUUUAAAUGAAAGCUGUGUUGAUAUUAAUGUACACUGUCUAUCAAUAGUGCCGAAAACAGAUUGAAAACAGAAUAAAUUAUAAUCUGAAUUUGUCAAAAUAUGGUAUCGUAAAAUAUGAACUUUAUGUUUUUAAGUGUAUUUUUGUUAUACACAUCGUUUGCUUUUAUGAAUUUAAUCAAACAUGAUACACGUAGUAAUGCAAGUAGUCGGGACUGUUUUAAUGUUUCCUAUCCAGACUCUGUGAACUUAUUAUAUGGAAGCUGCUUUAAACAACCGGACAGUUACUGCAAAAUGCGACAUGAGCAGAAGUUAAUUUUAUUCAAAACAAGUUUGAAGUUUAUGUAAAUAGAUCAUAAAUGUAGUUUGAGUUAUGAAAUGUAAUGUGUUUUACAUGAUUUUAUACAUCGUUUGGUUUUAUGACUUUUAUACCUCAAUAAAUAAUUUUAACAAGA